GCUGACUUUUUUCAGCUUUACUUCGCCGAUUCCGCCGCUACUCCUUAAAAUUUAAAAAGGAGGCAUUUUUUUUUUUUUCAUCUUUUCCUUGAUCUUCUCGUUCUUGGUGGAUUUCUUCCGCUGCUCUUGGUAUCUGGAGACCAAACAAUCUGUCACUGCUGCAGAGCUGGGAUUGGUAUUUGGUGGUGGUAUAGAGAGGAAGAGCAAGGGAUCCGCCAUUUGUAAGCAGAUCGUGCUCGAUCUGUUUGUAAAGAUCUCUAUUUUCUCUGAUUUUGUCAUUAUUUUGCUUGUUUUGGAUUUCUCAUGCUGCUGUUGAUAGCUGGAGUGCUGGGGACUGGUGACCUUUGCUAAACAGAUUGUGCUCAAUUUCUUUCUGGAGAGCUAGGAAUGGUGGUGUCAUAAAGAGGAAAAACUAGCAAUCUGCCAUUAGCAAGAAGCUUGUGCUCAAUCUCUUUAUGAAGAUCUCUACAUUCCCCAAUUUUAUCGUCAUUUCCUUAUUUUGGAUUUCUUCUACUGCUCUUGAUAGCUGGUGAACUGGGACUGGCGGUGGCGUAGAGAGGAAGAACAAGCAAUUUUCCAUUGAGAGCUAGGGCUGGUGGUAGCCUAGAGAGGAAAACCAAACAAUCUGCCAUUGUUGGAGAGCUAGGAAUAGCGGUGGUGUAGAGAGGAAAGCAAAGCAAUCUUAAAGCAAUCUUCAACUGAAAUCUCAUCAGCAGUGGAACAAAUAGUUACUUUCCUAUCUUCAUAGCAUGGCGCAAAGAACAAACGCUAUCGAUCGCAAUGGAGCCGCUAUCAAGGUUGGAACAAUCGGCACAAUAGGUUCCUUGAUGACUCGAGAGUUAGAAUGCACCAAGCAUUCGGACCAAACAUGCCCUCCAAUGCAGCGAAAACAACAAACAGCGCCGGUGUCCAUACAUUGCGGUGCCAAUUCGAGGAAAACAUUGCAGAAAAGAAAUCAAACUAACGAACAUGGGAGCAGCAGCCGCAAUGACAGCGGUAGCAGCACAGGGCAUGCUAAUGGCGCACCGCGAAGAAACGGGCCCGAGAUUCCGAUGCUAGUAACUGAUGGCAGUCUAGUAGACCAACAUCCGAACACUGAUAAGGCAGAAAAGAAAGCACACUCUUAUAUUGUGGAGGUUGUCGACUUAAAAUGCAGCAAUCCAAUGAGCACACGGUUGAAGAAACUCGGGUUCUCCAAGCUCUCCGAAUCGAUAUCCUAGUUCUCUUAAUCAAUUUGUAAAAGUGAGGUCCUUUGGAGAAAUCAUCAACCUAGUUGAUCUUGAUCUUGGCUUCGGAUUGAACUGUUUGCUUCUACAUGGGAAUCGAGAUCUAAACCAUGUUUUUUAUGACAAGCGACCUUAUUUCCGUUGGGCAUC